GAGUUUGAUCCUGGCUCAGAACGAACGCUGGCGGCGUGCCUAACACAUGCAAGUCGAGCGAGAAACUCGCAGAUGAAAUUUCGAUGGAUUCAGCGGGCGGAAAGCGGCGGACGGGUGAGUAACGCGUAGGCAACCUGCCCCUUCCAGAGGGAUAGCCAUUGGAAACGGUGAUUAAUACCUCAUAAAGCCUCAUCUUCACAUGAAGGAGAGGCCAAAGAUUUAUCGGGAAGGGAUGGGCCUGCGUCUGAUUAGGUAGUUGGAGGGGUAACGGCCCACCAAGCCUACGAUCAGUAGCCGACCUGAGAGGGUAACCGGCCACAUUGGAACUGAGACACGGUCCAAACUCCUACGGGAGGCAGCAGUGGGGAAUAUUGCACGAUGGGCGAAAGCCUGAUGCAGCAACGCCGCGUGAAUGAUGAAGGCCCUAUGGGUCGUAAAGUUCUGAUCUGAGGGAAGAAACAAAUGACGGUACCUCAGGAGAAAGCCCCGGCUAACUAUGUGCCAGCAGCCGCGGUAAUACGUAGGGGGCAAGCGUUAUCCGGAAUUAUUGGGCGUAAAGGGUGCGUAGGUGGCCUAUUAAGCGUGGGGUGAAAGGCAAUGGCUCAACCAUUGUGAGCCCCGCGAACUGAUGGGCUUGAGUGCAGGAGGGGAAAGCGGAACUCCCAGUGUAGCGGUGAAAUGCGUAGAUAUUGGGAAGAACACCGGCGGCGAAGGCGGCUUUCUGGACUGUAACUGACACUGAGGCACGAAAGCGUGGGGAGCAAACAGGAUUAGAUACCCUGGUAGUCCACGCCGUAAACGAUGAACACUAGGUGUCGGGGCUUAACCGCUUCGGUGCCGGAGUUAACGCAUUAAGUGUUCCGCCUGGGGAGUACGCACGCAAGUGUGAAACUCAAAGGAAUUGACGGGGACCCGCACAAGCAGCGGAGCAUGUGGUUUAAUUCGAAGCAACGCGAAGAACCUUACCAGAGCUUGACAUCCUGCUGACGGAGGGGGUAAUGCCCCUCUUUCUUCGGACAGCAGAGACAGGUGGUGCAUGGUUGUCGUCAGCUCGUGUCGUGAGAUGUUGGGUUAAGUCCCGCAACGAGCGCAACCCUUGCCUUUAGUUGCCAUCAGAUAAUGCUGGGCACUCUAAAGGGACUGCCGGGGAUAACUCGGAGGAAGGUGGGGAUGACGUCAAAUCAUCAUGCCCCUUAUGUUCUGGGCUACACACGUGCUACAAUGGCCGGUACAAUGAGACGCAAUAUGGCGACAUGGAGCAAAUCACCAAAACCGGCCCCAGUUCGGAUUGCAGGCUGAAACCCGCCUGCAUGAAGUCGGAGUUGCUAGUAAUCGCAGAUCAGAAUGCUGCGGUGAAUACGUUCCCGGGUCUUGUACACACCGCCCGUCACACCAUGGAAGUUGGGGGCGCCCGAAGUCGGUCAGCAAAUAGACUGCCUAAGGCGAAAUCAAUGACUGGGGUGAAGUCGUAACAAGGUAGCCG
rnacentral:rRNA from 1 species